rnacentral:rRNA from 1 species
UACGUAGGCAGCAAGCGUUGUUCGGAGUUACUGGGCGUAAAGAGUGCGUAGGCGGUCCUGUAAGUUUGGUGUGAAAUCUCCCGGCUCAACUGGGAGGGUGCGCCGAAGACUGCAGGGCUUGAGUAUGGGAGAGGUAAGCGGAAUUCCUGGUGUAGCGGUGAAAUGCGUAGAUAUCAGGAGGAACACCUGCGGCGAAGGCGGGUAGCUGGGCCGACACUGACGCUGAGGCGCGAAAGCCAGGGGAGCGAACGGG